AGAGUGAACGCUGGCGGCAGGCCUAACACAUGCAAGUCGAACGGCAGCACAGGGGAGCUUGCUCCCUGGGUGGCGAGUGGCGGACGGGUGAGGAAAACGUCGGAAUCUGCCUAUUUGUGGGGGAUGACGUAGGGAAACUUACGCUAAUACCGCAUACGACCUACGGGUGAAAGCGGAGGACCUUCGGGGCUUCGCGCAGAUAGAUGAGCCGACGUCGGAUUAGCUAGUUGGCGGGUAAAGCCCACAGGCGACGAUCCGUAGCUGGUCUGAGAGGAUGAUCAGCCACACUGGAACUGAGACACGGUCCAGACU
rnacentral:rRNA from 1 species